CGCGUAGGUGGUAGUGUAAGUCUGGGGUGGAAUCCCAGGGCUCAACCCUGGAACUGCCUUGGAAACUGCAUUACUUGAGUCAGUGAGGGGAGAGUAGAAUUCCUGGUGUAGCGGUGAAAUGCGUAGAUAUCAGGAGGAAGGCCUGUGGCGAAGGCGGCCCUCUGGCGCUGGACUGACACUGAGGCGCGAAAGCGUGGGGAGCAAACAGGAUUAGAUACUCUGGUAGUCCACGCCCUAAACGGUGGGCACUAGGUGUAGGGCUCGUAAGGGUUCUGUGCCGAAGGGAAACCAUUAAGUGCCCCGCCUGGGGAGUACGGCCGCAAGGUUGAA
rnacentral:rRNA from 1 species